GUGGGGAAUAUUGCACAAUGGGCGCAAGCCUGAUGCAGCCAUGCCGCGUGUAUGAAGAAGGCCUUCGGGUUGUAAAGUACUUUCAGCGAGGAGGAAGGCAUUAAGGUUAAUAACCUUAGUGAUUGACGUUACUCGCAGAAGAAGCACCGGCUAACUCCGUGCCAGCAGCCGCGGUAAUACGGAGGGUGCAAGCGUUAAUCGGAAUUACUGGGCGUAAAGCGCACGCAGGCGGUCUGUCAAGUCGGAUGUGAAAUCCCCGGGCUCAACCUGGGAACUGCAUUCGAAACUGGCAGGCUAGAGUCUUGUAGAGGGGGGUAGAAUUCCAGGUGUAGCGGUGAAAUGCGUAGAGAUCUGGAGGAAUACCGGUGGCGAAGGCGGCCCCCUGGACAAAGACUGACGCUCAGGUGCGAAAGCGUGGGGAGCAAACAGGAUUAGAUACCCUAGUAGUCC
rnacentral:rRNA from 1 species